GCCUUCGUAGCUCAAUCGGUAGAGCGUGAGACUCUUAAUCUCAAGGUUGGGGGAUCGAGACCCCCCGUCGGCU